UUACGGUCAAAUCACGCUGAAACACCGGUUCUCGUACGAUCACCAAAGUUACGCAGCGUAGAGCCAGGUCAGUACUUAGAUGGGGGACCGCUUGGGAACACCUGGUACUGUAAG
rnacentral:rRNA from 1 species